AGGAAAAAAAAAUGAUGGAGAGAGAUCAUUCCUUCUGCAUCAAAACACUCAUCGGUGAUCUUAUUUUCAUACGCAAGGCAGUCGGCGAUGGCAUUCAAAGAUUACGUGUACCGAUAAUAAAGAGCCGAUUAAAAAAAAGCGAAGAAGCUGAAAUGGAGUACUAGCUCUUAUAUACAUACAAAAUCAUGUCAUAUAUAUAAAACAGCGAAUCCGUUCUGAAUUUAAAGAAGCAUCAGACAAUCAUGAAACGACCACACGUUUAGUACUUGGAAUAGAGAGAAAGAGAGAAUACAAAACCAAAUCUGGUACCAAUCCUUACAAAACAUAUUAUAGAACAGAACGUUCUGUUUUUCGAAUUCAAUAAGGUAAUAGAUAUGUUAACAUUCUAAUGGAAAUCGAAGAAUUAAAGAGAGCUGUUAAAGGAGCAUAAACAUGACUUGAUAACAAUAACAAGAAUAAAGAGAUACUAGCACUUUUGGAGUCGGAAGCUCAUUUUUCACAACUAAUUUGAGACUUGGAUCAUUUUCCUGGUGUUUCCUUACAAGUAUUUUAGAAGGAAUCAAACAGAAAGACGAGUAGCAGAAAAAGGAGAAAAUUAAAGGAGGAAGCGUACCUUCCGUUGCUACAGAACUCAUAGAGCUUGCCGCUGCUGGAGAAGAUGAUUACACCAAUUUCAACGUCGCAGAGUACGGAGAGUUCGCGAGCCUUCUUAAUCAAUCCGUUUCUCCUCUUGGAGAAAGUCACCA
rnacentral:misc_RNA from 1 species